AGACGGUAUAGUACAAUGGAAGUGUUCGAGUGACUUUCAAAUGAUGCAAUUGUCGAUGGAUGCGUAAGGCAUGGAGCACCCAGGCGGGUUCGCGUCCCCGUGGGCCGCCAUGCUGGGCCACGGCAUGCACGGCAUGGUGCAGCACGAGUACGGCGCGCCCAUGCCGAUGGACCUGCACGUGCCGCAGCCCUUCCCCUACUACCGAUAUCGAGACGAUCCGCUAUGCUGGUCAGACAGAAAGCCACCGGUAGAUGGCGCAGGAAACGCUGCAUCCGUAAACAGUCG